rnacentral:rRNA from 1 species
GAGUUUGAUCUUGGCUCAGGAUGAACGCUAGCGGCAGGCCUAAUACAUGCAAGACGAACGGUAAGUGGAGUAGCAAUACUUCGCCCAGAGUGUCGUAAGGGUGCGUAACGAGUAUGCAAUCUGCCCUCAACAGGAGGAUAGCUCCCCGAAAGGGGAAUUAACACUCCGUAAUAUUUCGGUGUGGCAUCACACAGUAAUUAAAACUCCGGUGGUUGAGGAUGAGCAUGCUUCUGAUUAGCUAGUUGGUAGUGUAACGGACUACCAAGGCGAUGAUCAGUAGGGGAACUGAGAGGUUGAUCCCCCACACUGGCACUGAGAUACGGGCCAGACUCCUACGGGAGGCAGCAGUAGGGAAUAUUGGUCAAUGGUUGCAAGACUGAACCAGCCAUGCCGCGUGCAGGAAGAAGGCCUUCUGGGUCGUAAACUGCUUUUGCCAGGGGAUAAAAUAGCUGUGCGCAGCAAAUUGAAAGUACCUGGUGAAUAAGCCACGGCUAACUACGUGCCA